UUUCUUUAAUUUUAUAGUAGAAAGUCAGUUAUACAAUCUAAAGAUGUAUAACCCACUUUCUACUAAAAACCGUUUGGAAAAAUAAAGAAGUCGUCCAGCUACCAAAGUAACGCCGUUUUUCAAUCAAUCGUUAUGCCACUACGUUAAAAGGUUUAAAUAUUUUUUUAACAGCAAAAUUAGUAACAUUUGUCAAUUCUGGUUUCCAUGUCAUAUUAUCAUUAUUUGGGAAACAAUUUUCCGGUCAGGAAACUCCUCAAGCCGGCUAUCUUUCAUUUUAAUUAUAAUUAUUGUCAACUGAAGCACAUGCUUUUGUUUACGAAAGAUAGCCCCUCAAGCUUGUUCCAGCUGCUUUUUCGUCUUUCAGCAUAGGGAGUGCGUGAACGAUUUUCACGUACAUCUAUCAACUCUCACUGCUACUCCUGAGCUUUGAUAACGUCCUUUGCAUCACCUUUUGCUAGAAAUGGCAGUUAAAUCUUACACUCGUAAUUGCUGAGUUACUUUCCUGCCAAUAUUUAUUUCUAAGCAAUACAGUUUCUUGUAACUACGACAGUAUGGCUAUUUUCCAGUUCCUUUCGCUACUUUCGACAAGUUUUCUUCCUACCAUGAUCCACCCUCGUACCAAGUUCGGUUCUUUUGAUCUGCUGUUCGCUUCAAGUUUACAAUUUCGCCACAUAUUUAUUGCUUAAUACUGCUGUUGUGAAUUCUUGACUGUUUCAAAAGUCAUUUUUCCGUUUCUCACGGCUGAAGAAUGAGGACACUUGAAACUUUUUCAACUGUACGGCAACUUUUUCCUCUGCAGUUUGGCAUUUUGCAUCUCCUUUCUCUCACCUUUGACAUGCGUCUUGAAUCAACGUUUCUUGAUGGUUUUGUACCUUACUUUUGAUCCCCAGUGCCCUGUCAUGAUUGCUAUUCGCUAUCGCCACUUUUUGGGAUCACCAUUUGCCAAUCUUCACACAACAUCGCGACAUUUUUUAACUUACUCUGGGAAAUUACUAUGAAAGAAAUCUCUGCAGAAAGAACAGUUUCAACAUCAUGGUGUGUCAUCAGUAUAAACUAAUCAGAGGUACAUUAAUCACAUUACAUUUGUCAAAACUGCAAAAAGAAGGAAGUGGAAACUGACAGAGACAGGACGUCACCAACUGUAAACAACAUGAAGUACGAAAACAAAUGAGUCAAAUACGCAGACAACAAGAGAUAAAAAUGGAAAACAGGACAAGUAAACACAGAACGACCCUUCAUCAGUUGUCAGCUGUCCAUCUACUCCUCAU
rnacentral:lncRNA from 1 species